GGGCAGAUGGCGGAAUUGGUAUACGCGCAGUCUUGAGGAGGCUGUGCCGAAAGGCAUGGGGGUUCAAGUCCCCCUCUGCCCA
rnacentral:tRNA from 1 species